AGCCACCAGCGAGAUUCGAACUCGCGACCCCUGGUUUACGAGACCAGUGCUCUAACCUCUGAUUUAUGGUGGC
rnacentral:tRNA from 1 species